rnacentral:rRNA from 1 species
GGACGGGUGAGUAACACGUGGAUAACCUACCUAUAAGACUGGGAUAACUUCGGGAAACCGGAGCUAAUACCGGAUAAUAUUUUGAACCGCAUGGUUCAAAAGUGAAAGACGGUCUUGCUGUCACUUAUAGAUGGAUCCGCGCUGCAUUAGCUAGUUGGUAAGGUAACGGCUUACCAAGGCAACGAUGCAUAGCCGACCUGAGAGGGUGAUCGGCCACACUGGAACUGAGACACGGUCCAGACUCCUACGGGAGGCAGCAGUAGGGAAUCUUCCGCAAUGGGCGAAAGCCUGACGGAGCAACGCCGCGUGAGUGAUGAAGGUCUUCGGAUCGUAAAACUCUGUUAUUAGGGAAGAACAUAUGUGUAAGUAACUGUGCACAUCUUGACGGUACCUAAUCAGAAAGCCACGGCUAACUACGUGCCAGCAGCCGCGGUAAUACGUAGGUGGCAAGCGUUAUCCGGAAUUAUUGGGCGUAAAGCGCGCGUAGGCGGUUUUUUAAGUCUGAUGUGAAAGCCCACGGCUCAACCGUGGAGGGUCAUUGGAAACUGGAAAACUUGAGUGCAGAAGAGGAAAGUGGAAUUCCAUGUGUAGCGGUGAAAUGCGCAGAGAUAUGGAGGAACACCAGUGGCGAAGGCGACUUUCUGGUCUGUAACUGACGCUGAUGUGCGAAAGCGUGGGGAUCAAACAGGAUUAGAUACCCUGGUAGUCCACGCCGUAAACGAUGAGUGCUAAGUGUUAGGGGGUUUCCGCCCCUUAGUGCUGCAGCUAACGCAUUAAGCACUCCGCCUGGGGAGUACGACCGCAAGGUUGAAACUCAAAGGAAUUGACGGGGACCCGCACAAGCGGUGGAGCAUGUGGUUUAAUUCGAAGCAACGCGAAGAACCUUACCAAAUCUUGACAUCCUUUGACAACUCUAGAGAUAGAGCCUUCCCCUUCGGGGGACAAAGUGACAGGUGGUGCAUGGUUGUCGUCAGCUCGUGUCGUGAGAUGUUGGGUUAAGUCCCGCAACGAGCGCAACCCUUAAGCUUAGUUGCCAUCAUUAAGUUGGGCACUCUAAGUUGACUGCCGGUGACAAACCGGAGGAAGGUGGGGAUGACGUCAAAUCAUCAUGCCCCUUAUGAUUUGGGCUACACACGUGCUACAAUGGACAAUACAAAGGGCAGCGAAACCGCGAGGUCAAGCAAAUCCCAUAAAGUUGUUCUCAGUUCGGAUUGUAGUCUGCAACUCGACUACAUGAAGCUGGAAUCGCUAGUAAUCGUAGAUCAGCAUGCUACGGUGAAUACGUUCCCGGGUCUUGUACACACCGCCCGUCACACCACGAGAGUUUGUAACACCCGAAGCCGGUGGAGUAACCUUUUAGGAGCUAGCCGUCGAAGGUGGGACAAAUGAUUGGGGUGAAGUCGUAACAAGGUAGCCGUAUCGGAAGGUGCGGCUGGAUCACCU